GAUGAACGCUAGCGGCAGGCUUAAUACAUGCAAGUCGAGGGACAGCACAGGUAGCAAUACUGGGUGGUAACCGGCAAACGGGUGCGGAACACGUACACAACCUUCCUUUAAGUGGGGGAUAGCCCAGAGAAAUUUGGAUUAAUACCCCGUAAUAUAGUUGAAUGGCAUCAUUUGAUUAUUAUAGCUACGGCGCUUAAUGAUGGAUGUGCGGCUGAUUAGAUAGUUGGCGGGGUAACGGCCCACCAAGUCUACGAUCAGUAGCUGAUGUGAGAGCAUGAACAGCGACACGGGCACUGAGACACGGGCCCGACUCCUACGGGAGGCAGCAGUAAGGAAUAUUGGUCAAUGGACGCAAGUCUGAACCAGCCAUGCCGCGUGAAGGAUUAAGGUCCUCUGGAUUGUAAACUUCUUUUAUUUGGGACGAAAAAGGGCCUUUCUAGGUCAACUGACGGUACCAGAUGAAUAAGCACCGGCUAACUCCGUGCCAGCCGCCGCAGUAAUAC
rnacentral:rRNA from 1 species